rnacentral:rRNA from 1 species
GAUGAACGCUGGCGGCGUGCCUAAUACAUGCAAGUCGAGCGAACGGACGAGAAGCUUGCUUCUCUGAUGUUAGCGGCGGACGGGUGAGUAACACGUGGAUAACCUACCUAUAAGACUGGGAUAACUUCGGGAAACCGGAGCUAAUACCGGAUAAUAUUUUGAACCGCAUGGUUCAAAAGUGAAAGACGGUCUUGCUGUCACUUAUAGAUGGAUCCGCGCUGCAUUAGCUAGUUGGUAAGGUAACGGCUUACCAAGGCAACGAUGCAUAGCCGACCUGAGAGGGGGAUCGGCCACACGGGAACUGAAACCAGGUCCAAACCCCUAGGGGAGGCAGCGGUGGGGAAUCUUCCGCAAGGGGCGAAAGCCUGACGGGGCACCGCCGGGGGGGUGAUGAAGGUUUUCGGUUCGUAAAACUCUUUUUUUGGGGAAAAACAUAUUUUUAAGUAACUGUGCCAAUUUUGACGGUACCAAAACAAAAAGCCCCGGCUAACUACGU